rnacentral:rRNA from 1 species
UGAACGCUGGCGGCGUGCCUAAUACAUGCAAGUCGAGCGAACAGACGCGGAGCUUGCUCCUUUGACGUUAGCGGCGGACGGGUGAGUAACACGUGGAUAACCUACCUAUAAGACUGGGAUAACUUCGGGAAACCGGAGCUAAUACCGGAUAACAUGUUGAACCGCAUGGUUCAACAGUGAAAGACGGUCUUGCUGUCACUUAUAGAUGGAUCCGCGCCGCAUUAGCUAGUUGGUAAGGUAACGGCUUACCAAGGCAACGAUGCGUAGCCGACCUGAGAGGGUGAUCGGCCACACUGGAACUGAGACACGGUCCAGACUCCUACGGGAGGCAGCAGUAGGGAAUCUUCCGCAAUGGGCGAAAGCCUGACGGAGCAACGCCGCGUGAGUGAAGAAGGUCUUCGGAUCGUAAAACUCUGUUAUUAGGGAAGAACAAAUGUGUAAGUAACUAUGCACGUCUUGACGGUACCUAAUCAGAAAGCCACGGCUAACUACGUG